AGAGUUUGAUCAUGGCUCAGAUUGAACGCUGGCGGCAUGCCUAACACAUGCAAGUCGCGCGGAGUGUAGCAAUACACUUAGCGGCGGACGGGUGAGGAAUACAUAGGAAUUUGCCCUUAAGCGGGGGAUAGCCCGGGGAAACUCGGAGUAAUACCGCAUGAUGUCGAAAGACCAAAGCCGGGGACCGCAAGGCCUGGCACUUUUGGAGAAGCCUAUGUCCGAUUAGCUAGUUGGUAGGGUAAUGGCCUACCAAGGCGACGAUCGGUAACUGGUCUGAGAGGACGAUCAGUCACACCGGAACUGAGACACGGUCCGGACUCCUACGGGAGGCAGCAGUGGGGAAUAUUGGACAAUGGGCGCAAGCCUGAUCCAGCAAUGCCGCGUGUGUGAAGAAGGCCUUCGGGUUGUAAAGCACUUUAGGCCGGGAAGAAAAAAUCAGACCUAACACGUCUGGUCUUGACGGUACCGGAAGAAUAAGCGACGGCUAACUCUGUGCCAGCAGCCGCGGUAAUACAGAGGUCGCGAGCGUUAAUCGGAUUUACUGGGCGUAAAGCGUGUGUAGGUGGUUGUACAAGUCGGUUGUGAAAUCCCCGGGCUCAACCUGGGAACUGCUUCCGAGACUGUGCGACUAGAGAUCGGUAGAGGGCGGUGGAAUUUCCGGUGUAGCGGUGAAAUGCGUAGAUAUCGGAAGGAACACCAAUGGCGAAGGCAGCCGCCUGGGCCUGAUCUGACACUGAGACACGAAAGCGUGGGGAUCAAACAGGAUUAGAUACCCUAGUAGUCC
rnacentral:rRNA from 1 species